UUUGGAUCCAUCACAUUUUAAACGUAAGAAAUGGCGGCGUUUUGCAUUUUAACGAUAGCUGCUUGCCUCUCAUUAACACUUGCACAGAUGUCAAGCUUAAAUGACCUGCUUACCCUUCAAGCACUUGACGUUGAUAUUCCUGAAGCAGCUAUUGGGCAUGCUCUAAGAGGAGGAGGUGGGGGAUUAUCUUCCUUAUUAUCUAGAAGAAGAGGACAACAUAACUUUGGUCUCCAGUUUGGAAGACAAACAAGUGUACCGCAGACAAUUCUACCACAAGCAAAUUUACAACAAGCCCAAUUACAGCAAUCGAAUCUUGGAUCAUUUGGGAAUACAAGACAGACAUUACAACAGUUCUCAGGAGGUAAUGCUCUUCAGCAAAGGGGAAAUGUUGGAUUUCUUAACCAACAACAACAAACACUAGCACCUGCAAACGUUGGACAGUUUGCAUCAAAUGCACUUGUCAAUGGUGGAAACACAGGUUUAACACAGAUGACUCAACAAUCAAAAUUAAGCGACUUUGGAACCGGCGGUCAGAAUUUAUUUUCUCAACAAUCUUCUCUGAAUGCAUUGGGAGGUUCUCAAUUUGGAAGUUUAUUAGGUCAGAAUAGAUUAACUGAUUCUACAUUCGCUGGAAUACAACGAGGAAAUCAAUUACAAGGGUUUGGAAGAACAAGCAGAUCACUUAGACGUGGAGGAGUAGGAGGCAGUAGAUUAUCAGUGCUAGGCUAAUUUUAUAAAAAAGGUAUGUGUUUCGAGGAAGAUAGUUUCAGCAUAUAGAUUUCAUAUAUUUUUUCUAAUAAAUAUUCAUUUAUUUUAUUGAUUAUUAUUAUAGAAUUUAUGUGAAAUCCAAAUACAUAUAUUUGUAUAACAUUUUAUAAAUAUAUGGUGUUUUAGUCUAUUCGUGUACAAUUUUAAAUAAUGACUGUAAUAAUUGAAUACACAGAAAUCAUGUAUUAGAUUUCAUUUGAUGCCACUUCAAAUCCGGCAGUUAACAGCAAAUCAUCUGCACUAAUCCAAAAUUUCAGACCAAACUAAAGGAGACACAAGAUGGGUAGAAAAUGUCGAAUCGUUGUCAUGAUACACUCUUAGAUGUCCAUUUUUUGUUGUCAAGAAAAAUAUCUGAAAAUAAAGCAGGGUUUUGCUAUAUUUUCGGGAUAUACUAUUAUUUUUAUCUAUAUCAUACACACAUCAAGAUUACAUCUAUUGUAUAUUUUUCCAUUUGUAUUUAUUAUAAAUCAUUUUAAUUCUCAUCCUUAACAUCCUUCUUAUAGACUCUCAUACAUCUCUUCAAUAAAUGUGCAUUUUCAUGUUUAUUUAGAUAAUCUUCUGACCACUUUUUGUCGUGGUUGUAGUAAAUAUUCAAUAGAAACGUCUACCAGCCAGUACUAGCACAAACUCAUGACAACGCAUUGUGUUUUGAUAUUGGAAAUGUGAUAUUUUCGGAAUUAAAUCAUCCGACGUAGUGUGAAAUGAUGUAACCUAUGUAUAACAAUUGUUCACAUGUAGAUAUUAAAGUGAUUUAAGGAC